AACGCACAUUGCGCCCCUUGGUAUUCCAUGGGGCAUGCCUGUUCGAGCGUCAUUUGUACUCUCAAGCCUUGCUUGGUGUUGGGUGUUUGUCCCUUUAAGUGGACUCGCCUUAAAUUUAUUGGCAGCCAGCAGUCUGGUAGUAGAGCGCAGCACAAUUUGCGCUUUUUACUCCGAUAGCUAGCUUCCAGGAAGCCUACAUUUCUAACGUUUGACCUCGGAUCAGGUAGGGAUACCCGCUGAACUUAA
rnacentral:misc_RNA from 1 species